rnacentral:rRNA from 1 species
CUCCCAAACCCAAUGUGAACCAUACCAAACUGUUGCCUCGGCGGGGUCACGCCCCGGGUGCGUCGCAGCCCCGGAACCAGGCGCCCGCCGGAGGGACCAACCAAACUCUUUCUGUAGUCCCCUCGCGGACGUUAUUUCUUACAGCUCUGAGCAAAAAUUCAAAAUGAAUCAAAACUUUCAACAACGGAUCUCUUGGUUCUGGCAUCGAUGAAGAACGCAGCGAAAUGCGAUAAGUAAUGUGAAUUGCAGAAUUCAGUGAAUCAUCGAAUCUUUGAACGCACAUUGCGCCCGCCAGUAUUCUGGCGGGCAUGCCUGUCCGAGCGUCAUUUCAACCCUCGAACCCCUCCGGGGGGUCGGCGUUGGGGAUCGGGAACCCCUAAGACGGGAUCCCGGCCCCGAAAUACAGUGGCGGUCUCGCCGCAGCCUCUCCUGCGCAGUAGUUUGCACAACUCGCACCGGGAGCGCGGCGCGUCCACGUCCGUAAAACACCCAACUUCUGAAAUGUUGACCUCGGAUCAGUAGG